AGGUGGGUCAGGACAUAGGUGUAGUUAAUCAUUUCUAGUUAAUGUCUCGAGGUUUUAGUAUAUGAAACAGUUACUGAAGGGCCUUGCAUAUGGGAUCCAGGCAUAAACCAGUGAGAGGCACGAUUAGGGCUCAGACUUUCCCAUACCGGAGUGUGAAUUCCACAGUUUGCCAUAUGGUUCUGUUUCAGGCCCUGAGUUCUGUUUCAGUCCUGCCUUCUCAGGGCUCACAGCAUCAGAGGAGAGAGAUGGUAUGCAAUGAGGUUUGGUACAGUGUGUAAGGAUGGGACCAGGAUCUUUCCAGAACUUUUUUAGGAUCUGGGAACAAAAUCUAGGAAGAGGUGCUCCUAUGACUCCCAUCACUCAGGCCAUUACAGAGAUGUUAAGAGCUGUGCAGGAACUGAGGAGCAAGACAGAAUAUGUCCUUCUUACUGUGUCACACUAGCACAGUCUACACAGUGAAUGUUCCUUACGGAGAAGCUAGUGGGAGUGGGGUGCAAGGACCAAUGUUGGGGGGCUCUGGAGGCAUGCCCUGCCCUGACUGACAGUGCCUGGUCCUGAGGAGGAGGUGGGCAGGCCCCCCCACCCUGCAGGUCACCGUGGCUGGGAGCUCCAGGAGGACAAUGGGACCUUGGGGCAGUGACAGGAUGGCUAAGACAAUGACAGUGACUGAGCUUGGACAUGGAGCCUCUGCCAUCCAUGGUAGUCUCCAUGGGCGGGAGUCCAGUGGGCACUUCAUGGAGGGAUGAGAUGGACUCAAGAAGACGUGUUUCCUAUCGUUGCAGAGACACUUGAGGUUUGGGACAAGAACAUCAGCCGCACUGAGUCUCCCAGAACACACGUGACCCACCCCCAACCCCCUGACUGUGGGGUCACCUUGAGGGGCUGUGUGCUCUGGGUUCCUGCCUUGUGGAGAUGACUGUGACCUGUCAAUAAACCAGGGAACACCAGAUCUAGUACAAGGAGCUUAUGGAGACCAGGCAGAAGGGGAUGGAACCAUCCAGAACUGACUUCCUGGUGAGGCCUGCGCUCCAAGGUGAGAAGUGACGUGAAGGUGGCACUUCCUGAUAGCCUGACAGUAGCUCCAAGUGAGAGGAAAGCAAGUAGGAUGGUAGGAAGUUGACCUUCAUGUUGGAAAGAGAAAACGGGAUGUCUGUCUUCAAAAAAGGGGAGGGCUGCCCUUUGGGGAGGACUGAGUAGUUCCUUAUGGGCUGGUGGACUGGGGCCUCAGCGUCUUGCUGGAUGUAGGCAGAUGCUGACCUCAGUUUCUGGUCUUUCCAACACAGCUGCUUGCUUCAGCAAAGCUUCCAAGGGGAGAAGAUAGUAAAAACUCAUCAGCAAAAUGCAAUUCAUAAUCAUAUAUAUUCCAAGCUCAUCACUGCCAUAUUUUAUUGGUUAGAAGAUAUUCCAGAUCCCACCCAUACUCAGUAGGAGGAGAUUCCACAAGCCCAUGUGGACCAGGAGGUGGGGACCAUUGGGCCUUAUUAUAGAAUCUGCACAGGGAUGUUCCAGGUGACAGAUGGAAGGAAUGGGGGGUAGGAAGGUCUCUGCGCUGGAUGUGUUCACACACUGGAUGUGUUCAUAAAUCUGUACUUACCAGGCUGUUACCCUGCAGAGUAACUGAGCAACAUAAUUAUACUCUGGCUGCCCUGCUGAAUAUGACCUGCAGGCUGAGUUGUGUUAUCCAAGCAGGGUGUUAGCUAUGAGAAUCACGCUCAUUUGGAAAGGUCUGUCUCAACUUUGUAGAUCCUGAGAGGUCGUCCUCUCUGAAUAUUUCCCUCCUCAUUUGUCAAACCUUCUAAAUCUUUAGGAAGCGUGAUCACUACACUCAACCAUUUUGUUUCUUUCCUGCAUCGUGCUGCCUGGCUAACCCUCAUCUCUUACUAUUUCUGCCAGUCUGCCUCAGACAGGAUUCCACCAAGACAUUUCUUGUGAUUCCACUCUGUCAGUUUCUUUCCCUUCAUCCAGAUCAUUUCUUAGUGAUUUUCUCUUGUAUUGAUGAGUUAGUUACAUUAGGAGGUCACUAUUCUAUAAUUAAAUCUUCCUAAUAACUUUUGGACCUAAUGGGCAAAGUUUCUCUUUCCAAGUUUCAGGUCCUUCCCAUACAGGGAGAGUCACGAGUAGGUAUAGAACCUCAUCAGCAUGAGACAGGUGGGUCACAAAGGUGUGUACCUGUAUUUUCUUUCUAUCUCAAGCAUGUAGUACAACAUCUGGCUCUCAGCUUCUGCGUGGAGGCUGCUUCCCCAAACCUCAUCAGGAUAGUUACAUUUACCAGGGUAUUCACCCCACUCUGAAUUCCUUCAUGUUUCUCUCACUGAGCCUAGCAGAGAGCCUGACAUCUGCUACUGCCUAUUAUGUGUCUGCUAAAUGGAGGUGGGGUUUCUUGGGCAAUUCAGAAUUUAUUACAAAAGACUGAGACAUGCACAAGGUUGAAAACAUUUAUAGAACACAAAAGAGUAUACAGUAAAAAGUAAAUUUCCUCCUCUAUUCCCUCCACAAUUCUUCCAAACUCUCUCCUAGGUCAUAAGAGCUAUUACCAGUUUCCGCAGUAUUAUUAUGGGAGAGAUUUCCAUUUUAGGGGGUGGCAUUUUAUGAAAUAAUCUACCUCUAACUUUGUUCUCAAAUAACAAUAUAUUCUGAGAAGAUCCUAGAUUUUUACAUACAAAACUCAUUCAGGAUUAGAUUUUGAUAUUAGGUAUUGGUAAUAACAAUUCUGCCACAGGUGAUUUUUUAAAAUUUAAGUAAAGCAGAAAUCACCCUCAUUCCACAGCGACACAAUUUCAUGGAGUACAUGUUCCCUCAGAUUAAAAACCCCUUCAUUCACCAGCCUCCCAGGAGGUGACUUUUGUCUGUGUGACUACAUUUUUGCCAUUGUGGGGACACAGAAUGUGGUAGAAGGUUUUGUCCUAAAAGGAGGGAAACAUCCACUUUUUCUGUUCUCCCUGCCCUGCUCACGGACCACAGACAUGGUCUUAGGUGCCCUGGUCAUGCUAAUACGGAAAUUUCCCAGGGUCAUCGUCAGCAGCGUGUCUGGAUAGCCACGUGGUGCAGACUGACCCUACAGUCCCAGACGGCUCACCUCACUCGUGGGACACACACAAGCUGCUGUCCCAUGGACUACUGUUGGCUGGGUUUCUGUGGCACACAACUGAACUAAUGCAUAUGGAGAGGGGAGGGCUUCCUGGAGGGGGCGGCCAUGGUGGUCUGUUCUGGAGAUGAGCAGAGACAGAUACACAGGGGGCAGCACUGGGGGCUCCCUGGGACACUGUCUGUGUUGGAGGAAAGGAGAGCUGGGCCCCAGGGGCAGCACAGGGAGACUGGAGACUGUUCUCUCACCUUUGUAGCCACGGGGCUGUCCUGGGGCGUGCAUGGACUCACCAGCUGUUACAGUUGGGGGCCUGUGUUUCUUCUCUUCCCUUCCUGUACUUUUUACAGAAUUCCCCUGUUGACUGCAUCCAGGACGAGAAUCCCUGCUGGUGACCUUUCCUCCUCGUCCUCCUGUCUGAGGGCAGUGGCUAUGGGGGUUGAGAUUUGUGGGGGUUGAGAAACCCCUCAGAGGAAAAAGGAAUGCAGGGUCUUUUGUCAUGGGGGUCCACCAGAAAUCUGCACUUACCCAGGCUGGCUUGGACGGCCCACCUUGAGAGUGUGGACCCCAAAUGCCUCAUAUCUUGUGUCCUGAUAAUUCCAGAUAUUCACUGCAUAAUGUCACUCUAUUCUGUGUGCCACCAGCAAGUCACUAUGUCCAGCUUCGGUUCCAAAAGUGGGUAUUAUUACACAAGGGCAUGAAUACCGGAGGAUGGGAACACUGGAGCCAUCUUGGGAUCUGCCUACAGCAGGGGUGACUUUGGGAACCACCUGAAUGUGUGGCCUCUCACAGGCCUAUGGCUAGGAAUGCAGAGAGCAGACCAAAUGAAGAGCUCAAGUCCGAGGAUGUUGGUGAUCACUCCCCAGGAAUCCAGAUCAGAGUUGGGAUGUCACACGUAGUUACAGGGGGACAGGGCCUGAGGCUCCACCAGUCAGGUGACCACAUGCCAGACUCUGACUCAGGAUGUGUGUGACAGAGAAGCUGGGACAGUCCUACAUGCAUUUGGCACAGGUGGUGUGAGUGGCCGUCGUGUCAUCCCGCUGCCAGGAGCAGCAGUGACAGCAGUCCUGGCCUCAGGGUGUAGUCUUAUGAACAGUGGGACCUGUGCCCAGCACCGGGGGCAGUGGUUCCUCUUUGGUCCUUGAACUGGGGUGUGAUGGUGGAUUCUGUUCCUGCCUGUGCAGUCUUGGGCCUGUUCUGUGGCUUUCCAUGAAAUAAAAUGAGGCCUAGUACUCUAACAUUAUAUACACAAAAUAUAUAUUUUCCCUAUAAAUAUAUAUACUCAUAAUAUAUGGAUUUAAUUUAUAUUUAAUAUCUCAUCUUCUUUUUUCUUAAAAUAUGUUUUAAAAUUUAUUUAUUUUAUUAUAUAUAAUUUAUAUUUUAUAUGUUAAAUUAUAGAUAUGUAACUCUCCCUGAUAAUACAUUUAUACAAAUGUAUUUCUUUAUAAAUAUAUAUAGUUUCAAA